UACGUAGGGUGCAAGCGUUAAUCGGAAUUACUGGGCGUAAAGCGUGCGUAGACGGUUACAUAAGUCGGGUGUGAAAGCCCCGGGCUCAACCUGGGAAUUGCAUUCGAGACUGCGUAGCUAGGGUGCGGAAGAGGGAAGCGGAAUUUCCGGUGUAGCGGUGAAAUGCGUAGAUAUCGGAAGGAACACCAGUGGCGAAAGCGGCUUCCUGGUCCAGCACCGACGUUCAGGCACGAAAGCGUGGGGAGCAAACAGG
rnacentral:rRNA from 1 species